AUUCUCUUGUUAGAAGUGGUGGCGAUGAUGUGGUAUGAGCAGGUCGUGUGGGUAGGAACGAUAGAAGAGGUCCUUUGGAUCUAUUGCUCCACAUUGUAUCUAGAAAAGCUAGCAACCACGUUAGAAUCACGAGAGCAGCUGCUUCAUUCAAAUUGCCGUGGCUCUACUUGUCAUCCCCAAAGUUCUGCCUAUGAAGGCGGUGGAGGAGUCAACAAAAUUGGUGGCUAAAUUGCAUCGCCAUGAAAUUUAUGUAUGGGACAUGAUUCCAAUUCAUGGAGAGUUUUUAAGACUUCAGUAACUUAAGGAGUGAGGAUCAGAGUCAUUAGAUGGCAAAGUAGAAAUGUUAUUUUGGCGCAAUGAGCAUAUUCUAAUUUUAACGCAUGCUGCAACAAAAAAUGAAAGGUUCACGCUACUUCUGGUGGGGGCCAUU
rnacentral:lncRNA from 1 species